CCUUUCUCCGUGGGAGAGUUGCCUUUUGCGGGCCGAUCCUCCGAGUCCACGCUGAUCUUCACUCUCCGUUCCAACACUGCAACACCUCCACCUGCAGACGACGACUCAAAGAUGCCGGGAUGAGGGUGGAGGUGUUCAGACUCGGCCUCGUUUACGAGCCGCUCUGCGCUCCGCCAGGGUCCAGCGGUGACAUGGAAACGGCUCAGCUCUGAAGACGACGCCCUCACAGCCCGGCCUGCUGUUCUGGGAUCCAGAGUCACCGGAGCUGGAAGACGUCAGGUAUUUAAUGGACAUCAAAGCGGGAAAACCGAGCUGACCAUGGUUAAAGUGCACGCGCAUGCGUGGGAGGACACUAACAAUAGGGGGCGAUUUGUUUCAUCUUCUCCCAAACGGCGUAUCGGAGGUUGCCUAAGUGUUUUGCCACGUUGAUUAGAGGCCUGUGAAUCCUCUCCGGCUUGGUGUUAGCGCACUCUGUGCUACAGUGAGUAAACAUGGACAGAAAAUCAGAUGAUUGUGAUUUUUAAUUUUUAAUUUUUGCUUUGUAUGGAUCAACAAAAUACGAUAAAUCCUCAUACCUA